AAGAAGAGGGAGGAGCAAACUGUGUGAUCGGUGAAAUCGAAACUGCUUCGUGGCAUUUCCUCCCUUUAGUCCGCUCGAGGUGAAAAGGAACGUUUGGUUUUAUUUCGUCGUUAACGGAUGGAAAAAAAAGAUUUGGGAUAUCCAGUACUCGAAGACGACAAUGACUUAACUACCCUCGGCGCGUUGGGAUCCAGCUGCAGUCUGUUCAGCAGUGAGAACUGAAGACGUCAGUCAAAGAGAAGGAAAAACAGUCAGAGCUGAGAGACUUUCUACCAGAGCCAAAUGUCAUCUACUCCUCACUGAAGUCGUCCACCAGUCCAACCACUGGAAUCCAGCUGCUGCUCUCUAACUGGUCCACACAGCAGCUCAGGCCUGACACAUUCACUGUUCAAUAAACUUUGGUCUCACUUGAUCUUCUCGUGUGAGUCUGUGGGUUUCACAAAGAUGUCUGAUGGAAAACGUGAGAAACAGGUGUGAGGUGUCAGCUGUCAGGUAGGUGAUGAGUGAAGAACAGAACAGAAUCCAUUUCCUCUUCAAACUGCUGUCAGACAUUAUCUACUGCACUCUGAUCACGUCACUCAGACCAGCUGCUUUCUACAAAGUCUCAUCAACAACAUCUUUAGAAACAAACAUCAACAACCAGGAAGCAGCUUCACCUCUGAUCACACACUCUACUCACUCACCUGGAGGAUCAACAACACUCAGGAGCCACACGGUGAUUAUACGAUGGGUCCUGAACAUCUCCGUUGGGCUUCUUGUUUUUCAACACAAAGACAAAUGUAUCUCUCAGGUCAGCUCUGCUCCACUCUUCAAU